rnacentral:rRNA from 1 species
GUCUACCGUCAUGUUACCCAGAACAAACCAGAUCUCUCCCAGCUGAUCUCAGAAGCUAAGCAGGGUUGGGCUUGGUUAGUACUUGGAUGGGAGACCACCUAGGAAGACUAGGCGCUGUAGGUA